AACCUCAUCGGACGGAAGGAUUCCUUCCGGUCGAUGAGGUAUAGCAUCUUGACGGAGGGUAUCCCUUCCGGUUAAUGAUGUAUAAUAUCCUCAUCAUCCCGAAGGGAUUCCUUCCCUCAAUGAGGAUUUUAUACCUCAUUGACCAGAAGGAAUCCUUUCUGGUCGAUGAGGGU
rnacentral:miRNA from 1 species